rnacentral:lncRNA from 1 species
GUAAGUAGUCUACGCAAUUUUAUAGCAGUAAAUACUUGUCAUUGCUCAAGUAAUGGUUGAGUAGAAGCAGAUAUUUUUAUUUAUGUGAGCAUCUACUAACCAGCUGAAGUGAUUUGUUAAAGUCAAAUAAGAAAAAGAAGCACCUGGCGGAAGACAAUAAUGAGAUAUGUGCAGAAAACAAAUACAGUCUAGUUUUGGUCCCUUAUACAGUCCUAUAUCUGUGCUGUUUUUUUUUUUUUUUUGAGUACUUCAUGUAUUUUCUGUAUGAGUUAUUGCCCCUCUAAUUGAUAGACCAUUUACUUGACAAUAAUAACUAGUUGCUUCAGUCUGCUACUGUUGUAUUUGUCCAGAGAACUCAAUGGUUGUUCCAGGAGGGAAAUGCUUUAGUCUUCAAAUUGCUAUGGAUUCAGUGCCUUUCUUUGAAAGGUGAAAACUACUCAUCUGGAUCACAAGACGACUUGGGUUUUUGGAACUGGGAUAAUCUUGUGCAGCUGAAGAUGUUUGUGAGGCAAUUUGCUUCAAAAGAUCUGGCUAGAAGUAUGGUCACUGUGUGUCAGGAGCAAAAUAGGGUCACAGCUGGAACCACUGAUGGAGCACCUGGUGAAGGGGCGUAGCCAGCUCUGGGACACAGGUGGAAGCAAUCCCUCCUAAUCUCAUACAAUGGCUGGCAGCUGCAAAGGAAAAAAUCUCUACUUCGAGAUCGUCUCAUUUGGAGUGUUUGGUGGAUCUUGAUCCUUGGAAUGGGAUAUGUUGGUGCCAGAGGUUUUACAGUUCUCUUAGCUCCAUGUUGGUUUUUGGUCUCCCAUGAGGGUGGUGCCAUCUUUGUGACUGGGGAACCUGAGAGCAACAGGAAUGGUGUGGCAG